GUGAAAGAUGGACUUGGGCCUGGGCAGGACCAAAAGAACACCCAAAAGAACACCCAUUGCGAGCUGAUUGAGUGGAAUGUUCUUCACAGUCUUGAAUGUUUAGGAGCCAUCUUGGUUCCCACCCACAGAGACUUAUAAGCUUUUGGGCAUGAGAAUACAAACAGGAGUUCCCAUCUCUAGAGGUCUCAAGUUCUGGUAUGCCCUCUGACUUGAAGUCUCCUUCUCCAGAAGUAAAAUUCUGUGACUGGGACAAAAAGCGAUCAACCACUGGACCCCAAGAAACCCGCAUCUGCUUAACUGCAGAUGCAGCAACAAUAG
rnacentral:misc_RNA from 1 species